CUAUUCGUUAAUAAUUUCGAUUUCGUCAAUACUUACAGCUAACCCUCAAACUAUCUACGAAUUCCUUGUCAUUUUCUUCUCAUUCAUACUUCAAUAUCAAGUACUUUGAUACAAGCAGCGCCCUCAGUAGUUUUGGAGUUGAAAUAAAAAAAUUCCUCUCAUAAUAGUACUAUCAUUGACAUACUAUACAUGGACUGCUAGUAGCCAACUUCACGAUGGUUCCACUUUUAACGGACAAAACACUAGCGCAAAGAGGGCUAUGCGGAAAAAUUGUAGUCUACUCUACCCACGGAUGAAAACUACUCCCCAAAAUAAAACGGAAAAGAAAUUUGUAUUUGGUUUACAAUAAAAACCAAAAUUUAAAAUAAAAUGCCCCAAUAAUAGUGCAACAGCAGAAAGAAAAUUUUCAGAUAUAAGCUUUAUAAAAGAUAAAAAAAGAAAUUCACUCAAGGUAGAAACGGUAAAUGCCCUACUAACUGCUAAGAAACUCCUUAAAAACAAUUUCACAGAAAAAUGGGAGCCAUCGAAAACUUUAAUCGAGAAUAACAAAUCAUUGUAUAGCUAUCAUUGGUUUUCAUCAUUGAAAACAAACAUUAGAAUUUUUUGACAGGUCGUUUACAGCUAUCCUUAAACAUUUCGGUCAUUGAAAAAAUUUCCCGAUUGAAAUCCACCGACAAAAUUUUACUGACAGAAAUCUAUCAUUGGAAUCAGGGGAACGAUUCGUUUCGCCUUUGAACAUAAAGUAUCAGCUGUUCAGGAAAAUGAAUUUCCGUCCGUUGUAGAGAAAAAUAAAUGCGCAAUUACACUUUUUUCUCAAAAAACAAAUUCUUUGUAUGAUUUCCGAUGGAUGAUUAUAUAAUUUUCAUUUCUAAUCAAAGGGAAACACCGUCUUGAUCGAUUCCAAUGGUAGCUAUAAUUGACCCCUUAAUGAUUGUAACUGAAAA